UGUUUUUGGUCCCAAGGCUC
rnacentral:snRNA from 1 species